GGGGCUUCUUGACUGUGUCCCUGAGUGUGU
rnacentral:piRNA from 1 species